GCUAGCGUUGUCCGGAUUUAUUGGGCGUAAAGAGCGUGUAGGCGGCCAGGUAGGUCUGGUGUGAAAACUCGAGGCUUAACCUCGAGAUGUCAUCGGAAACCAUCUGGCUAGAGUCCGGAAGAGGAGAGUGGAAUUCCUGGUGUAGCGGUGAAAUGCGCAGAUAUCGUGAGGAACACCAGAGGCGAAGGCGACUUCCUGGACAAUUGCUGACGCUCAGGCACGAAAGCGUGGGGAGCCAAAGGG
rnacentral:rRNA from 1 species